rnacentral:rRNA from 1 species
UACGUAGGGUGCGAGCGUUGUCCGGAAUUACUGGGCGUAAAGAGCUCGUAGGUGGUUUGUCGCGUUGUUCGUGAAAACUCACAGCUUAACUGUGGGCGUGCGGGCGAUACGGGCAGACUAGAGUACUGCAGGGGAGACUGGAAUUCCUGGUGUAGCGGUGGAAUGCGCAGAUAUCAGGAGGAACACCGGUGGCGAAGGCGGGUCUCUGGGCCGAUACUGACGCUGAGGAGCGAAAGCGUGGGGAGCGAACAGG